CCUACGGGAGGCAGCAGUGGGGGAUAUUGCACAAUGGGGGAAACCCUGAUGCAGCGACGCCGCGUGUGGGAAGACGGUCCUCUGGAUUGUAAACCACUGUCCCCAGGGACGAAGAUGACGGUACCUGGGGAGGAAGCUCCGGCUAACUACGUGCCAGCAGCCGCGGUAAUACGUAGGGAGCGAGCGUUGUCCGGAAUUACUGGGUGAAAAGGGAGCGUAGGCGGGACUGCAAGUUGGGUGUCAAAUCUACCGGCUCAACCGGUAGCCGCACUCAAAACUGCAGUUCUUGAGUGAAGUAGAGGCAGGCGGAAUUCCUAGUGGAGCGGUGAAAUGCGUAGAUAUUAGGAGGAACACCAGUGGCGAAGGCGGCCUGCUGGGCUUUUACUGACGCUGAGGCUCGAAAGUGUGGGGAGCAAACAGGAUUAGAUACCCCGGUAGUC
rnacentral:rRNA from 1 species